GUGGACACGGCGUCUUAGAAUUAUUAAUUUUUUGUGUUUAUAAUCGCGAAAAUAGGCGAUUUCGUUUUGUUUUUGCGACGCUCGCCACCUCUUGUCAGUUGCUUUAGAUGUGGAACAGCAGUUGGUUGUGGUCAAGUUUUAGCGUCAGCUCUUGUAGGCGCUCGUCGAUCUGGAUUUUGAGAGUAGCAGGAAGGAUGGAUUUUGCAGCUCCGCGCUGGGUGCCCUGGUCAGCAGCUUUUGUGGCCCGUCUUUUGCAGCGCUGCAUUGCAGGUAGAUUGCAUCGGUGAUGAGGGAUACUGUCAGGGACCGUGUGGCGAGAAAGUUCAGGAUCGGCUGGAGUGCGUUGUCUUGGGCUUGUUCAUCCGGGUGCGUUGAGGAAAAUUAAGCUGAGUCGAGGAAGGUGGUGACCGUGCACGAGUUUGGGAGCUGACUGGAGUGCGCUUUUCCAUCGGAUAUAGAUAUCGUUAAUAUAUUUAUAAAUAGAUGUAGAUUUAAUUGGAUGUGUCCAUGUCCAGAUUAUUGUUUCUUCCUUGUAUGAUUAAGGCCAUUAAAAUGUCAAUUUUCUUCUCUAAGUUGUCGACUCUAUUAGCUAGGUUUGUUGUGUGGUCGUCCGAGAAGCCUUUUUGUAUGUAUGGAUUGGAGUUUCUUGGCGAUGGUGUGGCUACAUCAAUAACUCUUGGUUUGAAACUAGCUCUGGCAGCUCUGCUGGUGGUCGGAGGGCUGUCAUUGCUAGCUUGCAUGGGAUUUGAGUUACCUUUUU